UCUCGUAGGAACAACAAAUCGAGGAUUCCUAAAACCCUAAUCCGUCAAACUUCUAUAAAAGCCGAUACGUUGGUUCACAAUUGCCGCAACCUGAAAACCUUUGCCCAUUGGGGCUAAUCUGGAGAUCAGCUUCUUCCAAUCCAUUCUCUGAUUUUAAUUUAUAUCUUAGGAUGACUAAGCUUCAGCAAUAUGUGGUUCCUCUGCAUCAGUCUACUCCAACAGAGAAUCCAUCUUUCUUGAUGCUGCCAUCUUUAGUACUAGUCUACUUCGAUGAAAAUAUGGCUACUUAUACUUUAAGCCUCCGUCUUUAGAACUCAAGAUCCAAUGGUCUGAUGACACUACCCUCCUCCUUUGUCCGGGCUUGGGACCGGCUGCGUAGAAGAAAUGAUGCUUAUGGCAUGACACAGGCAGAGUUAUCAUGUCACUAUAUAAGUUGUAGAAUAACAUGAAUUUUCAGGGAAAUUGGAGCUGAUGUUGUCUUGGUGGUGAACCACACAAGGUCAAGAAACAGAGACUGUCAAAGAGAUAAAAACACAUGGGCAUGGAUUCUACAGAACUGCACCCUCUGUCCAUCUCCGGACCUUGGGAUGCAUAUUCUGUCAUAUUCACUUGAAUGAUGUAAUAAAGGCUGGCAAGAUGAGGCCACACGCCAGCCAACGGAUCCAAGUCAGGUUUGGAUGGAGUAGAGGACUUCCCAUAAUGCAGACACCAAUUGCAGCCAAUAGAGCACCGAACAUUUGCAACAGAUGUGCAAUUUUUGGGAAUGGCUUUUGAAGGAGAACUCCACAAAAAGAAAACACGAAGGCAGUCAACAUAACAGUCCCAAUAAGCUCUGAAAGAGGUGGAGGAGAAGGGGGUAAAUUGAGAAACAAGCCUAAAAUGGCCUGAAAAUUUGAACUAACAAAUGUGUUCCCAAACUGAGGGCUGUUGACUGGUGAAGGCCUCUGCAUUUUGAUGUAAAUUGGCAGGCAAUCUGAUGCUGCUGUCCCCCAGGUACAACUGCUUAUUCCAGGAUUUCUAUUUGUGACUGCAGUGAUGAAGGAAUAGAGUUCAUUCAUGUCUAGGGAGAUUUCAUGUGGUUUAGUUUCUGCCAUUGGGAAACAAAAAAGAUUUGAUCAAUACUCUCAAGUGGUUUCCUUGGACUGAUUCAGUACUCCAGUCUACCCUUUUAAUAUUGCAUGGAGUAUUCUAGAAUAUAAUAGUGAAGUUUUUGUGAUUCUCUUACAAGUUUUUUUUUAUUAAAUAUCCUAGAAAAGUUGACCACUUUUUGGGUCAAGUUCAUUUCA